AUUGUCUUAUACUAAGCCUCUAACAAUGUUCAAUUUUUAUCGAGUUUUGGUUUUUUUUAUCCUCUCAGUCAACGCUGGUGCACGGAUCUGUUUCGGCACUUCGCCAGCUCAGGUUCAGACAACGUCUCACCGAAGGCUCUGUCUACAAUCUAAGCGGAUUCGACGUGGCCCGGAACAGCCCCAAAUUUCGAUUAUCUGAUGGGCCUGUCUCAAUUUGUUUCAAUGAAGAAACAGCUUUUGAGAAAACGAGUGUAAGGAACAUACCUACCGAACACUUCCGCUUCCGGUCAUACGACCAGAUACUGGAGCUAGCAAAUACCGGCAAACAACUCCCGGAUGUAAUGGGAGAGCUUUGUGCAAUUAGGAGCACAAUAACCGACCGGAUACCUGGAGCACAGCGUGUUAUGCUUACCUUGCGUCUUGAAAGGUGGGGUCGUUCCUCUAAGCUCCAUUUUGUACAACUUUGAAAUUGUCUAACUUUGUAACAACGAUUGUGUGCAGGGAUUCAACCAUCCGUGUUAGUCUGUUUGAUUCUUUGGCACUUGCCUUCCAUAGCAAGCUCGACUGUUACGGGAGAGAGCCAAGAAUUGUUAUCGCCACUGGCAUCAAUCCUAAGAUGGUUGCAGGUAAGAGAUAUUAGAAUCCAAACAUAUAGUUAACAUAUCCAUUUGUCCGGUUCACGGUAAAUUAAGUAACUCCCUUACUGUUUUUGCAGGAAAAUUAUAUCUCAAUGGCACUUCUGCCACACGUCUUUAAUUUGAUUCUGAGUCUGCUGUCGGAAAAGCUGAGUUUGACCGGCGAGUUCUCAAACUCUAUUUCGAUAGCCACUUUGUCUAUUUUAGAUUUAUUCAUUGACGGUCCAUUGUGUGGUGAGCGGCAUUUAAAUACUAAUCUCCUUGCAGCUUGCCAGGUGGUGGGACAGAUCAGUCAGCGUCUUCAUCAAAAGUAGUUCAGGCACAGAAGAUUGAGCCCAUACACGUUUCUGAGCUUAACCAAUUUGUUGUCACUGCUGAACCUCAGAUCAUUGAGUUCCUCUGCACGGCUAAGGUGACUGAGAUUCAGAUAAGUGAGGGGUGGUGUUAUAUUGGCUGUUCGAAUUGUUCAAAAAAAAAAACUCACUUGAGAGGAGACUUCAUUCACGCGUCUCCCAUGCAAUGAAACCAAUGCCGUGGCUGAACUCCGGUACCGUGUGAUAGUCUCUCUUUCUGAUGGCACUGGCACAGCGGCUUUCCUUGGGUUUGAUACAGAAGUCGCUAAACUGACUCAUGUUCUAGCUUCUGAGGCUGCACAAAUUGUGGGUGUAGGUGCUACUGCUCAGGUCGAUGUUGAUCUGCCUUGCUCACUCGCUGAUAUUGUGGGAAAUACCUAUACUUUCCAGCUCAAGUUGAAGUACUUCAAUUUUUUUGCAAACCACCAAACUUUUACCAUUUCUCGCAUAUUCCCUGCGCAGGAGCUUGCGCCCAUUCCAACCUUAGAGGAAGGUGCAGAUGUUACCGAGCCAGCGCUUCUUCAGAAUGUUGCCGCAGGACCAGAAGGUAUAGCUGCAAUCACGUCCAGCGUUGCAGUGCCUUCCCCCGAGGCUGAUGGUACUUUUUCCCAGCGUGAGGAAGUAGCUGCGGAGGAAGCUGAUCUGGCAGGGAAUGCCAGUAAGAAAGCACGUGUGGAAUGAGUAACGCACUGGCGCCCAAACAACCACGAUUAGUCUAAAUAGUUUUCUGUUUCCUGCAUCUUUCACCUACGCUAUGUUGUUUUUUUAAAUUUUCCCCUAAAAACCUAUUAGAUCGUGGUUGUUGUUAUUUCUAUUAUCAAUGCAAAACCUUUCUUUAUGCUUAUUUCCAAUUGAUAAAUAUAGUAUUAAUUAUAAUACAACUAAAAACAAUAGAUAGAUUAGAGACGAGAGCAAGUUCCACGUCUUCUCUUUUUUUUAUGGGCAACAAGUUGCCUGUCCUUUUACAACACGAGAGUCGCAAUAUGUUUCGCUUGGGUUCCAAGUGAUCUAUUAAAGAAUACAACAGCACUUAACUGCUUUUAUUUGUGUUGUAAACUAAAGUGGUAUUAAACCAUUAAAUCAUACAUGCUUUCUGGUUAUAUAUACCGUCAUCAUGCUUAAAACUAUUACCACAAUAUUAAAAUUACGGAUGGUUUGUGUAUCACAUCUAAGAGAACAAAUAUUUUUGGUCGUAUAGUCAGAAAGAAAACACAAAAUCAUAAAAUCAAAUUGGAAUGUCUAAUUUACCAAACUUCCAUUCAAGCUCAGGGGUAGAUCAGAGCACACAUUCUCUUCCCAACAGACGGUCAAGGAACCGCAAACGCUUUCGUUGAACUAUACUUCGACGGUCAUCUCAUGAUGAUGAGCAAUCUAAACGCUUUCUCCUUUUGAGUUUCUUCUUCAACAUCUCAGAUCCAUCUCGACUUCACUAUCUCACUCUUGAAGCUCAGGCUUAUAGUCACAACAGACCUACUUAUGGCCGUUCCUUCCUUAGCAAGGUAUCUCUCCCAGUUACCUCUUUUGUUCCCCAUUCUAAUGAUGUUUUUCUUCACUUCCCCCAUGGAGAACCGUGGGAUUUCCUCUCCUGUAAGAGGCGAGAUUGGUUUGAAAGUUUACAUACCCAACGAAGCAUCUUUGAAAUCCUAUGCUGCUGCACCCACUCACCCAGAUAACCUAGAUCCGGCACAACCAACAAGUACAUAUUAACCUCAGCUUUAUGGUUUACAAAUUCUUUUUGAAGAUAGCUAACAGCUAUAGUGAUUGUUUACUCUGAAUAUGUUAGCUUUUUUUGGAUUCUAAACCGUGAAAAAACCUAGCAAAAUUGGUAUGGUUUAGCAAAACUCGGCUCUUUUUGUUUUAUUCUUUGAUUACAAAAAUUGAAAAAAAAAUUUACAACCCACAUUUCAUCUUUAGGAUUUUUAGUCUUUAUAAUUUACAUAUUUAUUAGUUUUAUUUAGUUUAGAAGAAUAAGGGUCAAAUUUUAUUUGUACUCUUGUUUUAAUAGUUUAGAUAUAUAACACACAUUUUAAAAAUGUUUAUAUAUUUUAUGAUUGUAUAUAUAUAACAAAAAUGUUUACCAGAAAAUGGUUUUUCACGUGUUGGUUGGAAAAAUGAUUAUGUAUAAUAAACAAAAUUAGCAAGUUAAUUACUUUAGCUUAGGAAAAAUUUAAAAAAAAGAUUUAACAUUAAUUAAAAAAAAACUCAUAUCCCAAUUGAAAAGACCAUAGCUAAAAAAGAAUAAGGUCCACGAGAUAUUAUGAAUGGUAUAUUAGAUGAGAUGUUGGCGACAUAAAGAAAUCUAAACUAAAUUAUUUAAAAUCUAGAUUUGCAAGUUGUAGAAUAGUAAUCUACUAAAUGUUAGGAAUAUUUAGUGGAUCUGUUCACGGAUUGUCUAUAUAAUACGAAAUGGAAAUUAAGUUUUAUUAUAUAAAUAUACUAAAGUUUUCUUCAAUGUAUAAUAUACUAAAUCGUGAUUUGGAAGUAGAUUUUUUGUUAUUAAUGUGAAAGCUUUAAUUUAGGGGAUUGUUAUGUUAAGUGAGUAAGACUUCAAUGAUUUAGCAAUAUUUAGUGGAUCUGUUAACAAUUUGGAAUAUAACUAAUCGAUAGAAAAUCUGUAAUUCUUUUUUAUAGUACAAAUGAUUUUUCUGCUUUUAUUUAGAUAAGUUUUGAAAUUAUAUUUAAAACUAAACCAAAUAAAAUUUUAAAUUGUAUGUACUUCUUGUUACACAUAUAAACCGGUUUAGUGAUGUUCUCGUUAAUUACAUUAUUAUAGUUAUUUGGUAGUGAAUUUUUAAUGUUAUUUGUUGUAAAAUGGAUAGUAAAAAAUUUGGCAUUUGAUUUUACACUCUUGGUUUAGUAACAUAUAAACACCUAAUUAUGCAGAGAUUGGGAUGUGGUAGUUGAAAGAUGAAACCAAGUUUUAUUGGUAUGAGAGGUACAAUUAUAAUUAUUGGGUAAUCAAAUUUUAGUGGGCUUGUUAUUUCUUCUAAUUAAAUGACGUGAAGCCUAAAACUAAUUUGUAAAGAUGUAGAAAUAAUGCCAGUGGCAUAAACCGUAAAAAUUAAGGAAAAUUAGGAUUAAUUUCUAAUUGUACUUGAGUUUUAAUAGAUUAGAUAUAAAGAAAGAAAGAAAGAAGAGAGUAGUGCGCUCACGGUUCAUUGCGCUCUUAGAUUGGCGAGGAAUAGCGAUGAAUUUUCGUUGACUAUCUCUUGUCACAUCCUCAUCAACAUCUUUAAAGCUGCUUCCUUUUUUUUGAAGUUGAACCCGUUUCAUUCAUGUUUGAAAACCCUAACCAAGAAAAUGGAGGAACAGAGGAUCAAAAGAAGAAAAAAAAGGCACAAAAGAUUUGGGAGUAGCAGUUUUUGUUCUCAUUGAGAAUCUAAGCAACAAUCACAAGAGAACCAAUCGAAAAGACAAAAACUCAGAGAGAAGGAAAAGAAAAGAUUUUCUCAAAAACAAAAAAAAAAAACUUUUGUAGCAAGAAAGUAAGUGUGUUACUGUUUCGACUUAUUCAAGAUUUUUGCCUCAGCCCCAACCCAGUAAUGAUUCCGUGAGAAGAAAUUUCCAAGGUUUUUGGCGUUUUGGAGAAAGAAAGAAACAAAGGGGAGAUAGAGAGGAGAGAAACAAUGUUUAACAGAAACUUAGAUGGAGAGAGAGGGAGAUUUGAUUUGAUUGGACUUUUUUUUAAAGUAUUUGAUUAUAUUGGGUCUUUUUAGCCUGGCCCAAUUAUUGGGACUUUCUUUUCAGUUCGAUAUAGUUGUAUAUAUGUAACCAUGUUAAUUAGGGAUGAGUUUUUUGGUUUAAUUCUGAAUUCGGCUUGGUUUAUUUGGGUCUAAGAAAACUUUAACCAAAGUCAACCCAAAUUAGUUUAGUUUGGUUUGUGCUUAUUUAGUUCAUUUGUGUUGAUUUUUUAGUUUUUUUCUAGUUCAGUUACAAAAAUAUAAACAAAUCAUCAUUUGACAAGAAUUUUUUUUUUUUCAUUUUUAAAUAUAAAGCCAAACAUCACAAUAAGCAUGUAGAAGAUGUAAUCUAAUAGUUUUAUGUUGUUAUCAUUAAACCUGAGAUAAAUAUCAUAGGUAAUUUUUUAAUUGUGAUAUUAAUGUAAGAGAUUCAUAUUCUUUUAUUUUAUUUUUAGUUGCGUUUUUCUGUUAAUUUUGAAGUAAAAUAUAAAUUAUAUUUAAUUGUUUAGGUUAAAUGGUUAAAUAUAUAAAAUCUUAAUAUUAUUAGUAUAUUUAAUUAAUCUAAUUUAAAAAUACUUCAGUUUUUUUGUUCAAUUUAAAACCGAACCAUUUGGAUAGAUAAAAAAUCUUCAACGAAAUGAUUUAGACAUAUACUUAGUUUGGUUUGGAUCGGUUUGGGUUCGAAUGGGUCGGUUUAGUUUGGUUCGGUUCAGAUUUUUUCCCCAUCCUAUUGUUAAUUAAUACUUAGUAGUGUAUUUUUUUCAUCACUUAAUAAUGUAUUCUAUGGUGAUAAAAAACAAAGUUAUAAAUUCACAUAAAUUAUUCUUGUUAAUAUAUAUCUUGUGUUGACAAAAAAAAAUAUCUUGCAAAUGGAUAAUAUACAUUGUAGGAAUAUAAUAAAAAAAUUACAUUGGCAAGUAUCUUUAUUAUUGUUAUUGAUAUAAUAGCUUAAAUUUAGGGGAUAGUUAUGUUAAGUUAGUAAGAUGUUCAAUGAUUUUAGGAAUAUUUACUUGAUCUCUUAACAACUAAAUGUACUACGUCGAUAGAAAAAAAAUUAAUUUUUGAGUUAAUGCUAUAUCUAACUAAAUUAUGAUUUGCUUGUUAGUGGGGUAAGAAGUUAAUGGGAUUUUUAUUGCUUAGUGUAAUAUGCCGUGGAGUACUAUGAAUAAUUAGUACAGUUUUAGAGUUAAUACCAGUGGCAUUACAUUGUAAUUAUUUAGGAAAAAUAAGGGUCAAAUUUUAUUUGUACUCUUGUUUUAAUAGUUUAGAUAUAUAACACACAUUUUAAAAUGUUUAUAUAUUUUAUGAUUGUAUAUAUAUAACAAAAAUGUUUACCAGAAAAUGGGUUUUCACGUGUUGGUUGGAAAAAUGAUUAUGUAUAAUAAACAAAAUUAGCAAGUUAAUUACUUUAGCUUAGGAAAAAUUGAAAAAAAAGAUUAACAUUAAUU